AGUGGCAUCGUACAUCACUACUCCAGUACUCCUGCUGGCAGCACGCGGUGUGACGGAAACCUACGAGCCUGCGUGCUCUAGUCUGGAGCUGCUCUUAAAGGGCCAGCGUCACUAAAAUACCCCACACAGUUAUCACAAUACCAGCUUUACAAGCAGAACGAAUGUGAACAGGUAAACAGUUUAAAACAUAAUAAGCUCCGUUUCACAAUGACACAUGUUUAAUAUUAGUUCUCUUGGCUACAGAUAAAUAUAUUUAGUUCAGUAAACGGCCUCUCAUUACACAGUUCUUACCUUUCAGUUUACCAAACCAAGACUUGGUGGUUCACAUGUUGCAGCUGCAGAGCCGAAUGUCGCCAUGGCCAGGAAAGUGUCUCAGAAACAAGUCAUGGAAGGUGGAGAUUACUGGUUCUCCGGUCAGCACUGCAUCUCAGCUCUAGACCCCCAAACUCCCUUGGUGUUCCUCUGUUUGAUCGGGAGAGGAUGGAGCACAUCUGGUGGGUCCAGAAGAAGCAUGUGAAGAGCAUCCAAGAUCCACCAGGUGUUGCUCUCUGCACUAAAACUGGGAGCUGACCAAGGGAGGUGUGUGUCUGCCGGUGUUUAGGUGAACCAGAGGCUCAACUUCCUUGGAGUCUUUUCAUCUGCAGCUAAACCGCUUCAUAGCAGGGAGCAGUGCCAACAGCCUGAAUGUUCAGGUUUACCUGUUGGAAGGGCUACACAGGUGGAACCAGGACCAGGUGUUGCUGCCAUGGCAACUGAGAAGUCUCCUUUGUGCUGCUACUCUGGUGAUUUGCUGCAUUCUGUCAACCAAACCUACAAGAAGCUGUUUGGCAGAAAGGUGGCGCCAGAGUUCUGUCCGUCCUCAUGUUACACAGGCGAACUCGUAGGAGUUCAGUAUCUGUUCCAGCAGACUGGUCAGGAGCUGCAGGACAUGAACCCUGACUCAGAGGAGACCGCCCGGUUGGUUGAGGAGCACGAUGUGGUGCUUGAUGAGGAAGAUGAGGGCUUUUCUGACCUCACAGACGAGCCACAGUGCUGGAUAUGGAGGUUCAACCUGCUCCCAGCACCUCCUCCACGCUGGCCUCUGGCAUAUCUGAGGCUGGAGAUUCCUCACAUGAAACUGUGUCAGUAACAGUUAUUUGCUGCUGUUUUCUACAUACUGUAUGUUCACGCAUGUUAUUGAAACUAAAGGUUUUAAACAGUAAUUUUCUGUUUUCUGCUUCAUAACAUUGGCAGGCUGUUGAUGAGCAGAAUGUGGCUGGAUACCAGCAUGUGGAGGAGAAAGAUCCUAAACAGAAUUUAGGGAACUUGCUCGUCAAUAAUUGUAAAUAGUUGUGAUUGUUUGAGUGUUUAUUGUAAAUAUUGGUCUAGUUUGGUAUAGUUUAAUUAUUGUUUAACAGUGUUUAUUGAAAAACAUGUUUGUCGUUGUUCUUAAUGACAGUGAACAUUAAACAGUGAGUGUGAAAUGAUUAUUGUGGUGAUUAUGAUGAAAGGAUGUAAAUUACUGGUAAGAAAGAACCACAUUGUGACAUUAAA